CCUACGGGCGGCAGCAGUGAGGAAUAUUGGUCAAUGGGCGGGAGCCUGAACCAGCCAAGUCGCGUGAGGGAAGACGGUCCUAUGGAUUGUAAACCUCUUUAGGCGGGGAGCAAUGCCGGGCACGCGUGCCCGGAGGGAGAGUACCCGCAGAAUAAGCAUCGGCUAACUCCGUGCCAGGAGCCGCGGUAAUACGGAGGAUGCGAGCGUUAUCCGGAUUUAUUGGGGUUAAAGGGUGCGUAGGCGGAUUUUUAAGUCAGCGGUAAAAUGUCCGGGCUCAACCCGGGCCGGGCGUUUAAACUGGGGAGCUUGAGUGGGCGGGAAGUAUGCGGAAUGCGUGGUGUGUCGGUGAAAUGCAGCGAUAUCACGCAGAACUCCGAGUGCGAAGGCAGCAUACCGGCGCCCGACUGACGCUGAGGCACGAAAGCGUGGGGAUCGAACAGGAUUAGAUACCCUGGUAGUC
rnacentral:rRNA from 1 species